CCUACGGGAGGCAGCAGUGAGGAAUAUUGGUCAAUGGGCGCGAGCCUGAACCAGCCAAGUAGCGUGAAGGAUGACUGCCCUACGGGUUGUAACCUUCUUUUAUAAAGGAAUAAAGUGAGGCACGUGUGCCUUUUUGUAUGUACUUUAUGAAUAAGGAUCGGCUAACUCCGUGCCAGCAGCCGCGGUAAUACGGAGGAUCCGAGCGUUAUCCGGAUUUAUUGGGUUUAAAGGGAGCGUAGAUGGGAUGUUCAGUCAGUUGUGAAAGUUUGCGGCUCAACCGUAAAAUUGCAAUUGAUACUGGCAGUCUUGAGGGGGCGAGAAGUAUGCGGAAUGCGUGGUGUAGCGGUGAAAUGCAUAGAUAUCACGCAGAACUCCGAUUGCGAAGGCAGCAUACCGGCGCCCAACUGACGCUGAAGCACGAAAGCGUGGGUAUCGAACAGGAUUAGAUACCCCUGUAGUC
rnacentral:rRNA from 1 species